rnacentral:rRNA from 1 species
UGGGGAAUUUUGGACAAUGGGCGAAAGCCUGAUCCAGCAAUGCCGCGUGUGUGAAGAAGGCCUUCGGGUUGUAAAGCACUUUUGCCGGAAAGAAAUCCUUGGCUCUAAUACAGUCGGGGGAUGACGGUACCGGAAGAAUAAGCACCGGCUAACUACGUGCCAGCAGCCGCGGUAAUACGUAGGGUGCAAGCGUUAAUCGGAAUUACUGGGCGUAAAGCGUGCGCAGGCGGUUUGCUAAGACCGAUGUGAAAUCCCCGGGCUCAACCUGGGAACUGCAUUGGUGACUGGCAGGCUAGAGUAUGGCAGAGGGGGGUAGAAUUCCACGUGUAGCAGUGAAAUGCGUAGAGAUGUGGAGGAAUACCGAUGGCGAAGGCAGCCCCCUGGGCCAAUACUGACGCUCAUGCACGAAAGCGUGGGGAGCAAACAGGAUUAGAUACCCUGGUAGUCCACGCCCUAAACGAUGUCAACUAGUUGUUGGGGAUUCAUUUCCUUAGUAACGUAGCUAACGCGUGAAGUUGACCGCCUGGGGAGUACGGUCGCAAGAUUAAAACUCAAAUGAAUUGACGGGGUCAUAGCUGUUUCCU